rnacentral:rRNA from 1 species
UACAGAGGUCCCAAGCGUUGUUCGGAUUCACUGGGCGUAAAGGGUGCGUAGGUGGUCGGGUAAGUCCGAUGUGAAAUCUCCAGGCUCAACCUGGAAAUGGCAUUGGAAACUACCUUGCUGGAGGUUUGGAGGGGGGACUGGAAUUCUCGGUGUAGCAGUGAAAUGCGUAGAUAUCGAGAGGAACACCAGUGGCGAAGGCGAGUCCCUGGACAAAACCUGACACUGAGGCACGAAAGCUAGGGGAGCAAACAGG